GAUGAACGCUGGCGGCAGGCUUAACACAUGCAAGUCGAGCGAGCGGCGGACGGGUGAGUAAUGUCUGGGAAACUGCCUGAUGGAGGGGGAUAACUACUGGAAACGGUAGCUAAUACCGCAUACCAUCAGAUGUGCCCAGAUGGGAUUAGCUAGGAGGUGGGGUAAUGGCUCACCUAGGCGACGAUCACUAGCUGGUCUGAGAGGAUGACCAGCCAAACUGGAACUGAGACACGGUCCAUGCACCUACGGGAGGCAGCAGGGGGGAAUAUUGCACAAUGGGCGCAAGCCUGAUGCAGGCAUGCCGCGUGUGUGAAGAAGGCCGUCGGGUUGUAAAGCACUUUAAGCGAGGAGGCGUUACUCGCAGAAGAAGCACCGGCUAACUCCGUGCCAGCCGCCGCGGUAAUAC
rnacentral:rRNA from 1 species